UCACAGGAGGUCCAACUAGAGCGCACGCUGCUUAACAUCCGAAGCAAGGAUUCUGAUCUCGAGAAGAGCACGUACCUGCAGGUGAUGUGUGGUGAAACUAUGGAUGUCUCGUGCGUUUGCGUGGCUGAAGUGUUAGGAUGUGCUUUUUAGUGUUCACCAAGAGGAGAACUUGGGUGCCAACUUUGGUUUUUGCACGCAUUACAGCUGGGAAAGCGUUGUCCCUUUCUGGUCACACUUUCGUUCCUGUUCAUGAAUUGCUCACCGUCGCCUGGGGUAAAGAUUUUUGUGUUCUCGGAGCUCGCGAAGAAAGCGUAAGGAAACAAAAAGGCACCACAUAGGAAGCGUAGCAUAUAGCAUUGUGCAAGAUGUAUCAGCAAUGCAUAUAUUCUCUCAGAGACGGGAAAUCUCGCUGAAGACAAUAAUUCUGCAAAU
rnacentral:lncRNA from 1 species